rfam:Glossina brevipalpis unplaced genomic scaffold Scaffold94, whole genome shotgun sequence.
UUAGUACGUAGGCGCCAUGGAUGUCGAAUCGUGCAUGCUACUGGCAUGGGCUAGUAGUACCUAUGAAGAUUC